CAGCUGUGUGAGAAGCCGGGCAGCCUCCUGCUCUGUGAAGGACCCUGCUGCGGAGCUUUCCACCUCGCCUGCCUUGGGCUUUCCCGGAGGCCAGAAGGGAGGUUCACCUGCAGCGAGUGUGCCUCAGGGAUUCACUCAUGUUUCGUGUGUAAAGAGAGCAAGACAGAUGUUAAGCGCUGUGUGGUAACUCAGUGUGGAAAAUUUUACCAUGAGGCUUGUGUGAAAAAAUACCCUCUGACUGUAUUUGAGAGCCGAGGUUUCCGCUGCCCCCUCCACAGCUGUGUGAGCUGCCAUGCUUCCAACCCUUCAAACCCAAGGCCGUCGAAAGAGACGAGGUCUCACUGUUGUGUUGCCCAAGCUGGUCUUCAACUCUUGGGUUCAAAGAAUCCUCCCACCUGAGCCUCCCAAAGUGUUGGGAUUACAGGCAUGAGCCACUACACCCAGCCUGUUUGCUCUGGUUUUAAUGGCCCAUUAUAUGUAAAAUGAUGCGGUGUGUCCGCUGCCCCGUUGCCUAUCACAGCGGGGAUGCUUGUCUGGCAGCAGGAUGCUCAGUGAUCGCCUCCAACAGCAUCAUCUGCACUGCCCACUUCACUGCUCGGAAGGGGAAGCGACACCAUGCCCACGUCAACGUGAGCUGGUGCUUCGUGUGCUCCAAAGGGGGGAGCCUUCUGUGCUGUGAGUCCUGCCCAGCGGCCUUCCACCCUGACUGCCUGAACAUCGAGAUGCCUGACGGCAGCUGGUUCUGCAAUGACUGCAGGGCUGGGAAGAAGCUGCACUUCCAGGAUAUCAUUUGGGUGAAACUUGGGAACUACAGAUGGUGGCCGGCAGAAGUUUGCCAUCCCAAAAAUGUUCCCCCAAAUAUUCAGAAAAUGAAGCACGAGAUUGGAGAAUUCCCUGUGUUUUUCUUUGGGUCUAAAGAUUAUUACUGGACGCAUCAGGCGCGAGUGUUCCCGUACAUGGAGGGGGACCGGGGCAGCCGCUACCAGGGGG
rnacentral:sRNA from 1 species